AAAGCUCCUUCAUUGUUGGAUCCCUCCGUUCGCCCGAAACCUCC
rnacentral:tRNA from 1 species